GAGGGUGUAGCUCAGUGGUAGAGUGCUUGGCUGAUAUAUACAAAGUCCAGGGUUCAUCCCUGUCACCUCA
rnacentral:tRNA from 1 species